UACGUAGGGGGGCAAGCGUUGUCCGGAAUCAUUGGGCGUAAAGCGCGUGUAGGCGGUUCUGUAAGUCUGCUGUGAAAGUCCAGGGCUCAACCCUGGGAUGCCGGUGGAUACUGCAGGGCUAGAGUACGGAAGAGGCGAGUGGAAUUCCCGGUGUAGCGGUGAAAUGCGCAGAUAUCGGGAGGAACACCUAUUGCGAAGGCAGCUCGCUGGGACGUUACUGACGCUGAGACGCGAAAGCGUGGGGAGCGAACAGG
rnacentral:rRNA from 1 species